UCUGUUUCCCCAUCUGUUCACAGAGGAAAUGCAGAUUGAUGGGUUUUGUCCGAUGAUAUUGCUUCAGACUAAAAUUAGCAACUUAAUCAGCAGCCGGAAAAGGAGUAACUUCGCUGAUCACGUGUGUUCUUAUGUAAUAUGAUGAUAAGCACGUUUUCAAAGUUUUCCUCACGUGCUUUUCAUGUUUUUUUUUUUGUUUUUUUUGUUUUUUCUGUCAUCACAAGCUCAUGAUUUUGGGUCGGGAUGGAUCCGAAGCCUGUCCCCGGAACUCUGGGCACAAAGCGGAUACGAACCUUUUAUGGGGUGCUAGUCCAUUACAGGUCCAUACUUGUAAAUGCAAUGACUAGACAGGGACAGGAGGAUGAUGUUAUCACCAGCUGAGCUGAAGAAGAAGAAUAAAAAAGAAGAGCUGUAAACACUUAAUAUUUGGGGUCUCAGAAGUUUGGUGGACAUGACCCCUGGACCUGUUUAAAAUGCAUUGGCACCCUGUCCAGGGUGUACCCCGCCUUGUGCCCCAUGCUCCCUGGGAUAGGCUCCAGGUUUCCCCGUGUCCCUGAAAUGGAUAAGCGGUAUAGAAGAUGGAUGGAUGGAUGGAUGGAUGGAUGGUUCUCUACAGCAUGUGCCUAAGACUUUUCCACAGUACUGUAUAUCUAGAGCUCAUAUGCUUGUAAUUAGCUGAUAUUCUAGCAGGCUUUAACUAGCUAUCAAAUAAAGUGCAAUGUUAUGUUUGGUUUUAUUUGACACCUAUUUUUGUACACUGUCCCAAACAAUACGUAAUGGAAGUCUUAUUCACAACAGUUACUUGUCAAAAACAACUAGGUCACGUGAGCAUUUAUGAUUCAGCCAGUAAGGGGUGAGCGGGCAGGUCAAACUGGUUAAGCAUUUACCCAGAUUAUUUCAUUAUAGGACAUAAGCUGACUUUCUUUUGUUUUUAUAAUUGUGUGUCGUCAGAGGCAGCUGUAACAUACGUCACCUCGCUCAGGUGCGAACACAGCCUUCUCAUGAUAUUAAUGCUUCCUUGUUCUCAAAGCAUCCAAACCCAAGCCUUUAUUCCCCACAUAUGCAUUUCAAUGACCACGCUCUUUGAGCAUCAUAUCUGACUGCACUCUCUUGCGUACAUGGCAGUAAAUACCACCCCACUUUUGGCAUGUCCUAUGAGAUCCCGGUCUUGAUGCCCCUCCUGUUCGUAUCUGUAUUCGUAUUCAUUUAGAACACAUUAUGUCUUCAUUCUGAAUAAUAUGUUCAUAAAUGCGUAUGUAUAUGCUAUAUUUAUGUGUUUAUUCGGAUGUUUUAAUUCCUGUUCUGUUUCUCUAUUAGCCACUCCUACAUAUUUUAAAAGACUAGUUGGUAUAGGUUUUGGGUAAAAUUAAAGGAAGACAAUGUAAGCAGGACGAAGAGAGAAACAGUUAUCUUACCAUCGGACUCUUAGGCUUGAACAUUGUGUUUUAAGACAUGUAAGCUUUCACAAGUGAAACUGGAGCUUUAGUUAUCAGGUGUUUAAGAACAUAGGCUUCAGGAAUUAAAAUGAUUUUUUCCGUCUGUUUUUGUGUAUUUUGUGUGUGUGUUUGAAUGAAGCUGCAUUUGUUUAUGGAU